AGAGUUUGAUCCUGGCUCAGAACGAACGCUGGCGGCGUGGAUAAGACAUGCAAGUCGAACGGGAUUCAUUUGUAGCAAUACCGAUGAAGUCUAGUGGCGAACGGGUGCGUAACACGUGAGCAAUCUGCCGGGAAGUGGGGGAUAACUCGCCGAAAGGCGAAUUAAUACCGCAUAUGGCCAGGGGGGACAUCCCUCCGAAGCCAAAGUCGCAAGACGCUUCCUGAUGAGCUCGCGGCCUAUCAGCUAGUUGGUGAGGUAACGGCUCACCAAGGCUAUGACGGGUAGCUGGUCUGAGAGGACGACCAGCCACACUGGAACUGAGACACGGUCCAGACACCUACGGGUGGCAGCAGUCGAGAAUUUUUCACAAUGGGGGAAACCCUGAUGGAGCGACGCCGCGUGGAGGAUGAAGGUUUUCGGAUUGUAAACUCCUGUCAAAUGGGAACAAGAAAGUGAUAGUACCAUUAGAGGAAGAGACGGCUAACUCUGUGCCAGCAGCCGCGGUAAUACAGAGGUCUCAAGCGUUGUUCGGAUUCAUUGGGCGUAAAGGGUGCGCAGGCUGUGGGGUAAGUCGGAUGUGAAAUUUAGGGGCUCAACCUCUAAACUGCAUUCGAUACUGCUCCGCUAGAGGUAUGUAGAGGAGAUUGGAAUUCACGGUGUAGCAGUGAAAUGCGUAGAUAUCGUGAGGAAGACCAGUGGCGAAGGCGAAUCUCUGGGCAUUACCUGACGCUCAUGCACGAAGGCCAGGGGAGCAAACGGGAUUAGAUACCCCGGUAGUCCUGGCAGUAAACGGUGCACGUUUGGUGUGGGAGGAUUCGACCCCUUCCGUGCCGGAGCUAACGCGUUAAACGUGCCGCCUGGGAAGUACGGUCGCAAGAUUAAAACUCAAAGAAAUUGACGGGGGCCCGCACAAGCGGUGGAGUAUGUGGCUUAAUUCGAUGCAACGCGAAGAACCUUACCUGGCCUUGACAUGCAUCUCUAAACCGGUGAAAGCCGGGGAGUGUAAGCAAUACACAAUUUGCACAGGUGCUGCAUA
rnacentral:rRNA from 1 species